UAGGGAAUCUUCGGCAAUGGGGGCAACCCUGACCGAGCAACGCCGCGUGAGUGAAGAAGGUUUUCGGAUCGUAAAGCUCUGUUGUAAGUCAAGAACGAGUGUGAGAGUGGAAAGUUCACACUGUGACGGUAGCUUACCAGAAAGGGACGGCUAACUACGUGCCAGCAGCCGCGGUAAUACGUAGGUCCCGAGCGUUGUCCGGAUUUAUUGGGCGUAAAGCGAGCGCAGGCGGUUAGAUAAGUCUGAAGUUAAAGGCUGUGGCUUAACCAUAGUACGCUUUGGAAACUGUUUAACUUGAGUGCAAGAGGGGAGAGUGGAAUUCCAUGUGUAGCGGUGAAAUGCGUAGAUAUAUGGAGGAACACCGGUGGCGAAAGCGGCUCUCUGGCUUGUAACUGACGCUGAGGCUCGAAAGCGUGGGGAGCAAACAGGAUUAGAUACCCUGGUAGUCCACGCCGUAAACGAUGAGUGCUAGGUGUUAGACCCUUUCCGGGGUUUAGUGCCGCAGCUAACGCAUUAAGCACUCCGCCUGGGGAGUACGACCGCAAGGUUG
rnacentral:rRNA from 1 species